GUAGGGCGGUCCAUGUGAGUGGUUAUGUGAAAGCCCCCGGGGUUUAACCUGGGAAGCGCAUGGCAAACUAUAUGACUGGAGUAUGGGAGAGGGUGGGCGGAAUUUCCGGUGUAGCGGUGAAAUGCGUAGAGAUCGGAAGGAACGUCGAUGGCGAAGGCAGCCACCUGGCCUAAUACUGACGCUGAGGCGCGAAAGCGUGGGGAGCGAACAGGAUUAGAUACCCUGGUAGUCCACGCUGUAAACGAUGAAGACUAGAUGCUGGGAGGGAGACCUUUUAGUAUCGAAGCUAACGCGAUAAGUCUUCCGCCUGGGAAGUACAGCCGCAAGGUUGAAACUCAAAGGAAUUGACGGGGGCCCGCACAAGCGGUGGAGCAUGUGGUUUAAUUCGAUGCAACGCGAAGAACCUUACCUACCCUUGACAUCCUGCGAAUCUGACUGAGAGGUUGGAGUGCCGAAAGGAACGCAGAGACAGGUGCUGCAUGGCUGUCGUCAGCUCGUGUUGUGAGAUGUUGGGUUAAGUCCCGUAACGAGCGCAACCCUUGUCCUUAGUUACCAGCAUUCAGUUGGGGACUCUAAGGAGACUGCCGGUGAGGAACCGGAGGAAGGCGGGGACGACGUCAAGUCAUCAUGACCUUUAUGGGUAGGGCUACACACGUGCUACAAUGGGUCGUACAGAGGGAAGCCAACCCGCGAGGGGGAGCCAAUCUCAUAAAGCGACUCGUAGUCCGGAUUGGAGUCUGCAACUCGACUCCAUGAAGUCGGAAUCGCUAGUAAUCGCGAAUCAGCAUUGUCGCGGUGAAUACGUUCCCGGGCCUUGUACACACCGCCCGUCACGUCAUGGGAGUGGACGGUACCAGAAGCGGAUAGUUUAACUGAGGAGAAAUCUGAGGGUGACGUUUGCCACGGUAUGGUUCAUGACUGGGACGA
rnacentral:rRNA from 1 species